AGUGAACGCUGGCGGUAGGCCUAACACAUGCAAGUCGAACGGCAGCACAGUAAGAGCUUGCUCUUACGGGUGGCGAGUGGCGGACGGGUGAGGAAUACAUCGGAAUCUACUUUUUCGUGGGGGAUAACGUAGGGAAACUUACGCUAAUACCGCAUACGACCUACGGGUGAAAGCAGGGGAUCUUCGGACCUUGCGCGAUUGAAUGAGCCGAUGUCGGAUUAGCUAGUUGGAGGGGUAAAGGCCCACCAAGGCGACGCUCCGUAGCUGGUCUGAGAGGAUGAGCAGCCACACUGGAACUGAGACACGGUCCAGACUCCUACGGGAGGCAGCAGUGGGGAAUAUUGGACAAGGGGCGCAAGCCUGAUCCAGCCAUACCGCGUGGGUGAAGAAGGCCGUCGGGGUGUAAAGCCCUUUUGUUGGGAAAGAAAAGCAGCAGGUUAAUACCCCGCUGUUCUGACGGUACCCAAAGAAUAAGCACCGGCUAACUUCG
rnacentral:rRNA from 1 species